rnacentral:misc_RNA from 1 species
AAACUACGUUAAACGGUGUGAAUUGCAGAACACGCAGAACACUGGAACUUUGAACGCACAUGGCAGGUUAGUGUUAUAACUAACCUUUGUCUGUGUGAGGGUUGUAUUCAGAGAAUGAAGGCUACUUUUUGAAGAGCGGGGAGGUUGCCUGUUAAAUGUGUGACAUGCCCGCUGAUAACAGUAAAAACACACUUGUGUUGCGCCUCUGGCCAGCGUCGGAGGUUAACAGCAACUGGACGAGUGUUACCUAUCUUUCUCACAACCUCACAUCAGGCAAGAUUACCCGCUUAAUUUAA